rnacentral:pre_miRNA from 1 species
AGUAUUCAUUGGUUCAGUCGAUACGUUUUAUUUAUCUAUCACUGGGUUUCUGAAUACUGC